AUUUAUGUUAAAUAAAACGCCCCUCGUUGUAGGAACAUAACAUUGCUGUAUGUAUUGCAAGUCAAGAUCCAUAUUGUAUAAUGCAAUACUCAGAUAUCAUUGUCUCACUACUAACAAAAUGGGAAGGCAUGUAAGUUGGAAGCAAAUUAAUAUUCUGAAUGGUCUUAAAAUGCAAGGGGACAGGACAGGUUAAGGUCAAGUCAAUGGAUGCGUAAGAGUAGGAGGGAGUAAAACA